UCAGUCGCCGAUAUAUCGCCGCGCUGGCCGCAUUAAAAUCCGAGCUACGGAACUUCGCUGUUUCGCCACUUGUACGUGGGCUAACUUAAAACAAAAGUGGCUUGCGCAGCCGGCGCGCCUUGAAAGUGUGUGUGUGUGCGUGUUUAAAAAAAUAGUGUUCGUUAUUGGAAAGCUAAGUCAAGUUAGAAGCAGUGUGGAAAGUGCAUAUUGUAUAUAUCUCUUGCCAAGGCUAAAAGUGUUAAAAGUUAACUCCCAGAAAUGCACACACGCAUACCGAUGCAAGCGAAAAGUUAAAGCGACGAUCAUUCAUUACUGCCUCUUCUUCUUAUUCAUCUGCUCUUUGCGACGUGUUUCGCUUACCUGUCCAAAACGCGCGUGUAUUGGUGGGCUCCAUCGCUCCAUAGCCCCCUCUCUCUCUCGCUCUCUUUCGAUUUGCACAUGCAAAAAGGCAGCAGCAGCAACAAAAACAACAACAAGAACUCCGUCUGAGAGUUUUAAAGCCGAAGUUCUCGACGCAGACGUCGGCGGCAGCAGAGCGGCAGCAGCGCAGCGGCAGCGAACAACUCGUACAGAUAGGGAAAUUCCUUGAAUCAUGGAUUAUAGCAGAAGGAAAAUAAGAGCUUACCUAAUUGAAAUGGAUUCAUAAAAUAAGUUAAAACUCGUUGGAUCUCAAUUGCAUUGUUAUCGUUAUGCUGUACAGUAAAACAUGGCAAAGUCGACACUUUAUGCUGCUGGGGUGACCUGUCUGGGCUUUAUUUGCUUCGCCUUGGCAUCUGUGGCCAUUGGCAUACCCAUUUGGGGUUACUACGAUAGUCCAUCGGGCGGCUAUGACUUCGAUCGAGGUUAUUUCGGGCCGUUUAAGGUCUGCAAGCAAUUGACUUAUAAUCGCGAGAAAUGCGGCAACGACGUGUCCAAGUUUAGAUUAAGCAAUGCGGUUUUUGUCAGUGGACUCUUGGCCAUUGGCAGCUCAGCUGUGCUGGGCAUCUUCUGCAUUCUGUCGGUCAUUCAACACGCGAUGAUCUCAUCCAGGGAGAAGGUGGUUAUGCCCUACACAACUCUAGUGAUAGUGAAGUUAAUGUUGGCAUUGCUGGGAGGUGUACUGGCCAUCAUAGCGACGGUUUUGUUUGCUCUGCAAAUUGAUGAGCAGGAGCGCUAUGGCUUCAAAGUAUCGCGGGGCAUUUCCUUCUAUAUACAGAUUGUGGCUAUUGUUUUGACAAUUGCUCUGUUCGUGGCCGCCCUGUACGAUGUGAUCUACUCGCGUAGUCCAGGCGGAGAUCCCACAAUGGCGCUGGAUGUGUCAUCUCCGGGCAGUGCCACUACGUUCAAUAAUCCGGGUUUCAAGGAGCCGCGCAGUCGCAACGGCGUUUCGGUGACGGACGCAUCCGGAAAGCCCUACAGCGGAAUCCGGAAUGGAGCGGGAACGGCGGGCAGCGUGGCCUCCAUGAGCACCACCGUGACCACCGUGUCCAAUGGUUCCACCCUCGACUCGGUGACGCGUUCACCGCUGCGAUCGAGUCUGAAGAAGCCGAGACCCCGGCCGGAUCCAACGUUAGGCAUUCAAAAUCCCGGCUAUUCUGGAUCCGGAAGUUCGCCACCCAUGCGGCGCAAUGGAAGCGUGAAGAAGGUCCGAAUUCAGACGCACAGCACCGAGGUGUAAGAUGGUUUCAACCAACUAGAAUUAAGCCCUUCAACAAGCAGCAAACGACAAAAAAACAAAACAAAAAAAUAUACAAAGACUGUGUACAGUAGCAAAAAGACACAAAGAAAUGUUAAGAUGAGAAAGAUGAUGCAUUAAAUUCAAUCGGCCGAGGCCAAAAGUUCUGUUUCGUAAGCAACGGUUUCCGUCCACGGGCAAGGCAAGAGUAUUUAAUUCAAAUUGAAAGUCCCCAAAAGUAUUUGAGUUUCCAUAUACCUCCCAAGUGCCCUUAAGACCCGCCCCAGUCCCGUGCACUUUGGAAAAACGAAUUAUCCGCAAAAACACUGGAACACCAACCUACAAAUAUAAAUAAUUUGCAAUAUUCUUAUUUAACAGAAAAAAAUAAACGUAAGCAUUAUAAAGCUACAUUUGUAAAAUACAUUAAAAUAAAAAUGACACAAAUUGUUAUUUAUAAUUAAGUUUAAGUCAAGGCGCAUUGAUGGCCUUUCAAUUAAAUUUGAUAAUUGUAUGUUAUUGUUAGCAAUACUUUAAAUUAAACGCGUUAAUUAACCUAACUGAAUAAUAAUUGUUGCUCUAAGAUUUCACUAUAAAAGACACUUAGAUUUUUUGCUAA
rnacentral:misc_RNA from 1 species